AUCCCACAUGGAAAAAAGUAUGCUAAGAAAUGGCUUCUAACAUCACUACAGAAUCUCUGCCCCAUUGCGUUUAUUCCAUUACACUACUCCACAGAGGGACAUAAAGUUAAUUUCUAUCUGGAGGAUGCUGCUGCUGCUAGCGCUCUGUGCAAACUCACACGCAGAGUCACGGACAGCGAAGGGAACAGGGUGGCCGUGCUUAUGAACAGUUGUUCCAGUCCCCCUUUCCUCCAAAGCGAGCUGAAGCCACAAGAUCUGGAGCGUUUAAAGCAUUGCAUGUCCAAACGCUUUGACGGUUCCCAGAAGUCUCUCGACCUGAACAGCAUCCGCACUGAUCCAGACCUGGUUUCCCAUAAUAUUGAGAUGAUCUUAAAUCAAGAAAACUGCAUGCAAGCUGUGAUCAAAAUCAUACAAGAGAAUAUC